GAUGAACGCUGGCGGCGUGCCUAAUACAUGCAAGUCGAGCGAACAGACGAGGAGCUUGCUCCUUUGACGUUAGCGGCGGACGGGUGAGUAACACGUAGGUAACCUACCUAUAAGACUGGGAUAACUUCGGGAAACCGGAGCUAAUACCGGAUAAUAUUUCGAACCGCAUGGUUCGAUAGUGAAAGAUGGCUUUGCUAUCACUUAUAGAUGGACCUGCGCCGUAUUAGCUAGUUGGUAAGGUAACGGCUUACCAAGGCAACGAUACGUAGCCGACCUGAGAGGGUGAUCGGCCACACUGGAACUGAGACACGGUCCAGACUCCUACGGGAGGCAGCGGUAGGGAAUCUUCCGCAAUGGGCGAAAGCCUGACGGAGCAACGCCGCGUGAGUGAUGAAGGUCUUCGGAUCGUAAAACUCUGUUAUUAGGGAAGAACAAACGUGUAAGUAACUGUGCACGUCUUGACGGUACCUAAUCAGAAAGCCACGGCUAACUACGUG
rnacentral:rRNA from 1 species